rnacentral:rRNA from 1 species
UACGAAGGGAGCUAACGUUGUUCGGAAUCACUGGGCGUAAAGCGCACGUAGGCGGAUUUGUCAGUCAGGGGUGAAAUCCCGGGGCUCAACCUCGGAACUGCCUUUGAUACAGCAAGUCUUGAGUUCGAGAGAGGUGGGUGGAAUUCCUAGUGUAGAGGUGAAAUUCGUAGAUAUUAGGAAGAACACCGGUGGCGAAGGCGGCCCACUGGCUCGAUACUGACGCUGAGGUGCGAAAGCGUGGGGAGCAAACAGG